rnacentral:rRNA from 1 species
GUCUAUGGCCAUGCCACCCUGAACAAGCCUGAUGUCUGAUCUUGGAAGGUAAGCAGGGUUGGGCCUGGUUAGUACUUGGAUGGGAAACCACCUAGGAAGACCAGGUGCUGUAGGCA